rnacentral:lncRNA from 1 species
AUGGACUUUCAAACACUCUUAAGGCUGUAACUUUGUCCACUCUUACAAAUUUGACUCUGCUAGACACGCCAAGUAAUGUAUCCUUCUGAGAAACCUUGGAGUCUCUUCUGAGACCAUGGCUCCCUUCAGGGUGGUUCUCCAUUCAUAGAUUGCUGCACUUUAUGUCUUAUAAUCUUCACCCCUUACCCUUCAACUGUGGUUGCAACAUCUCUGUCCAGAUAAUGCAUGGCCAAUCCAAAUGCAGCAUCCACAGACUGGGCAAGAACCACAAGAAGUCCAGCUGGAAAACUCCACUCAAUAACAUAAUG